CAGAUCUUUUAGGAUUUAGUCUACCUAUGAUGAUGUGCAUGUGAACUUCACUCGUGAGUGGGCUUUGCUGGAUGAUUCCUAGAAGAGUCUCUACAAAGGUUUGAUGCUAGAGACCUAUAGGAAUCUCACAGCUAUAGGUUACAGUUGGGAAGAACAUACAAUUGAAGACCAUUUCCAAACUUCUAGAAGUCAUGGAAGAUUCUCAAAUCUUCAUCAUUAUGAAAGAGAAACCCUAUAAAUGCAUUAAAUAUGGGGAAGCCUUUAAACAUUUCUAAUUCUUCAUCAUCAUGAAAAUAAUCAUACAAAGGAUUCAAGAGGAUACAGGGGUGUUUCUUACUGUAUUGCUUGAGUUACAGUCCUGACAUCCUUUGGUGAUCAACAGCAAUUUGGAAAGUGUA